ensembl:lncRNA
GUAAAUGACAAACAGUUUAUUCUAAUAAUCUGUAUAUUCCAAUAACCCAAUUAUUGCGGUAAUGUAAACGGGCUCAAUCUGUAAUGUCCAGUGGACUGGCCACAUCUCGCCUUCUUAUCUGCAAGGAGGACCUGUGAAAGGGCUUUCUCCUGCUCCAAGAACCGUGCAACCAUCUGCUGGCGGGACCCCCACCUGGUGGGUGUUUCCGUGAUUAACUGGUGGUGAGGCAAGCCCAGUGCUGCUUGGGCUUUGGCCAGUUCCCUUCUCCUCUUCCAAGAGUUGGAGAAGGCACUCACCACUCUCUUGCAGACACCCACUGCUCUCUCCACAGCCUGCCUUGUGGAUGUUGGGGUGAGGUUUUUUAGAGAAUUCUCUGUUGAAAUCAAAAGAAAAAGUGAUGUAAUAACAUAUUUGACAGCAUAUUUUUUUUCUAUAAUCAUGGAUCACUUGAAUGAGUUAUGGAUUGUUUUAAAAAUUAGAUAGUAAGGGUAUUAUGAUAUGAAUUUAAAUUAAUUUAUUUAAAUGUAUAAAUGUAUUGUAAUAUAAAUAUAUAAUAUAACUAUUACAAUUUUUGUAUUUGUUGCUAUCCCUUUGCAAUAUUACUCUAACUCUAAGCCAGGGCUGGGGAACCUUUUUCAUUCGAGGGGCCACUACAAAUUUCUCCAAUGGCCGUAAAAGUCCUUUGAGGGCUGUACUAUGAACACAAACCAGGAUUGCAGCCACCUUUAAAAUAGACCCCACCUUCUCUAGGUCCCAUGAAUAUAACUUAAUUGUAUUGCAAAUGUAAUUUCUAAGAUUCCUUUACAAAAUUUGUCCAUUUUAAUCAGUGUUUCCCACACAUUGACGAGACUAUGGCGCACCGCCAUAGUCUAAUUUCGACCGCCAUAGUCUCUGCGUGCACAUGAAGUUUUUUUUUUUUUUUUUUUGUCGCAUUGGGAUUGCAUGAGAGCACGAAGUUCGGCUGUCUGCCUGCGACUGUGCCGAAUAGCCUUCUGCAGCCGAAUCCAAGUUGGCAAUCCUUGAACUUUAUUUAAAUGAGUCUGGCGAAUCGUGAUGAUCAGUUUAGCGUGCGUGUGCUUACGUUGCAGAGGGUCUUGAGUUGUCUAAAAAAUAGAGAGAGCGCGACAUAGAGAGCGCGACAUAUGAGCACUACCUUAACAGCAUCCAUGAUCAGUAAGUUAACUAACUGUAAACAUACGAUGCUCACAGAGGUGAUGCAUUUUUAGAUGCAUACUGUUUGAGAACAUAGAACUCCGUUUGACCUAGUGCACACGCAAACAUAAAAACGGAGUUUCAGAGUUUUUAUAAAUGAUCAUUUCCCAUGAUAAAAACUCAGUUUUCGUGUAGCCUAAAUGAAAGGGCAAAACUUAUGAAAACAUGUGUUUUCCCAUAGUGUAAACGGGGGGUUUAUACAAAUGUAUAGCCUAUGAAACGAUUGAGAAGGUGACAUUUAGGCCACGCCAUUGUGUUUAAAUAGGCGCACACUGAAAAAAGGAGAUUGGACAUCUGUUGUGUAGAAUGUAUAUCUGCAGAAAGUGUAAAUAUAAUUAUUACGGUCAUGUUGGGAUAAAGUGAAUAAAUCCAGUAAAUGUAGCCUUUCAGCUGUCUCGCGAUAACCACGCAAUCAUACAUGACGCGCAAAUGCAACUGACGGACUCAGCUCAUUCAGUGGAAGAAUUUUGUCCAUGCGAGUCAAGACACAGUCAUCUCAACUAUGUAAGUAUUCAUGACUAAUAAUAGCUAUCUGGUAAUGAAUUUAUUUGGGGGUUAAAGUAACUAGAUGGCUGGACAAAGGCUUUUUCAAGAAAAAAUAAGUAAAUUAUAGAUUUAAUAUUUUAGCAUGCGAGGCAAUUACGAACCUUCCUCUACCAUUUAAGAUAGCCUACAUGUGACUAGCAAGCAGCAUAGCAUUUCCAUGUUAGUGAAACUAAUGUGUCAAACCUGGCAACAGAGUAGGUUUGUCUGAACUUGUGUAAUACUUUUGUGUGUUACGCUGGCCAUGCACCUGAAAUACGUCGGUUGCAAUUUCGUAUACAAUUGAUUAAUUGCAUCCAUGAUAAAAGUGUUUUUCUGUUGCUGCAGAUUUACAUUUUCUCACGUAGGCCUACACGGCGCUCUGUUACCGUGGGCUCAAGAUUUUUUGGUGAGUAUUACUAGCCUACAUAAAGUUGCGUUGUCCAGUAUGGAAGCCAGCACACUUUUCUAAUAUGCAGAAAGUGUAUAUUACAUUAUUCAGCUUGUGUUGAGUUAAAAUGAAUCAAUCGUGUAAAUGUAAAGUUACAGCUUUCAAAUUAUUUCUGGCGGCAGUCGAGCAUUGUGGCGCGAAAAUGCAUAUCUCAGUCAGCCGUCACUCACUCAAUGGCUUAGCUCAUACCAUAGAGAGAGGGCAACUACUGGUAGUUUUGGCAAAAAGGGUUUGCAUGAAAAUUCGUGAAUUUUUCCCGUGCUAAUUAAUUGUAUAGUUGAUGACCCAUUGCGCAGGUAACCAAUGCAAGUCUGUGUUGUUUGAAUGAUGUGGUUCACCGUAAAACCGAAUUAUUUGAGAAUCACCAGAGGCAUUUAUGCUAGCCACCGACAGAAGGAUGCUAAACUGAUGAUGCUACAUUUGUUUUGUUAAUUCAGAUCAUGAGCGUUUUGAAGUAUUUUAAAAAGAGGGAUCUUAAUUCACCUCAGAAUGAAGAGGUAGUAUCUGAGGUAGGCCUAACAUCAACUGCCACGAAUUGCUGCCUUUGUCAGGAUGUCAUAUUGGUAUUCAUUUUUAAAUACAUAAUUUGAGUAAUUGCAAUGGUAAUUAUGUAUUGCUUUGUACCAGAAAAGACAGCUUCUUCUUGUAGUUGAAGAAACGGCAGGGGCAGAGGAAGCAACACACAUAGGGACAGACAUGCAGACAGGGGCAGCAGGGCCAAGUACCAUAGGGGCAGAAGGAAAUACUGUCUCUCUUGAGGGAGGGAAAACAGGUAAGUUCAACUCAUGACAAAGGAGCAGUAAUCGAUUCCUUCAGUUGUUUAUGUAUAUUUUCUGUGUUAUAUAAAAGCUGGCAAACACAGAAAGUCAGGCUGGAACCCGAGUGGCUGCAGUUACCUCAGUUCAAAGCCUGGCUUUACACCACUCCACAUGGAAUGUUUUGCCGUAUUUGCAGGCAGCAUAAGCCACCUGUAAGGAAUGGUCCUACAAAAAGACCCUUUGUGGAGGUUGGUGCUCUCCAUUACAGGAAGGAUUACCUGAAGCACCACAUCAGUACUGAACACCACCAACUGAGCAUGAAAUCCCAGCAGUCAGUCGCAUCAGGAUACUCCAUCAUGUCCACCUUCGAGCCAGUGAUACAUUUGGAGCACGAAGCUAUUAUUGGUGGUUUCAAGUGUCUUUACUGGCUGAUAAAAAAUGAGAUGGCUCACCACACCAAGUACCCCAAAUUGCUUAGUUUAGCCAGACUUUUGGGGUGUGAUUAUUUUGACAAGCUUAAGGUGGACCGCAGGAACAAUUAUCGCUCUCAUCGAAUCAUCGAUGAGAUGCUGGAAAUAAUUUCACAGAUUAUCGAAGAGCCCAUUAUUCAAGUGAUAAGGGCAUCCCAGGCCAUGAGCCUUGAGGUGGAUGAGAGCACGGAUGUGUCCACAUCUCGCCAGCUUGACCUGCAUGUCAGAUACCUGGAUAAUUAGGGACUGGUUUUCAACCAGUUCCUAUACAUUGUCUCAGUCCCUGAUGGGAGGGCUGACACUAUUGUAACUGCCAUUAAAACGGUCCUAAUGAAUAAGAAUAUGCCAACAGAGAAGAUCUAUGGAAUUGGCACAGACGGUGCUGCUGUUAUGACAGGGCGUUUGAAUGGAGUUGUGAAACAACUCACUGAUAGCUUCCCAAGGUUGUUGGUGUUGCUUGUGCUGCUCACCGGCUUGCACUGGCCUGUAGGGAUGCUUCCAAUGGUGUCAGAUACAUGGCAAUUUUCCGAGACCACCUCCAGGACCUGUAUUUGUACUUCCAACACAGUGCAAACCGGACUGCAGCACUGAAGACUGCUGCUACUACCCUGGGACUAGCUGACUUGAAGUUGAAGCAAGUAAAAGAUACAAGAUGGCUGUCCCAGCACCAGGCCAUUGGGGUAUUGCAGCGAAACCUCGCAGCUGUGCUUGCCACAUUAGCUGAGGAAGUUGAAGUGAAACGAUGCCCAGUGGCCAAGGGACUGUACACCUUUUGUGCCACUUACAGAUUUGUGGCAUCAUUAUAUCUGCAGGCAGAUGUACUGCCACAUCUUGCCCGUUUGUCCAAGAUUUUUCAGAAGGCACAUAAAGGAACAGGUUCCCAUCACAAUUGAAACCUUGAGACGCAUCAAGGAUGCCGGCACUUCUCCCCCACAUGGGUCUUUCCUAUCCUGUCUCCAUAGAGAUCUGGAUGACCCCUCAGGACUUGGAGCCCAGUCCAUACAUCAUGAGGAGGAGAGGAACAGGAGAGGACAAAGUCUUGACGACGUACCACGAGAGAAACAGUGGUCAAGAUUUGUGGCAGAUGUUGCCAGUCCUUACAUCAGUGGCCUGAUUCAUCACCUGGAGUGCAGGUUCGAGAAUCUGAAUCUUCUUGGGGCCUUCAGUGUGUUGGGACCACAGGCAACUUCACAAAGUGAUGAGCAGAAUAAUGCCCACCUUAAGAUCCUGGCCAACAAGUUUUUACCUGAGAAUGAGAUCAAUGUCAAUCAGGAGUAUCAGUCCUUCAGAGAGCAUAUCCACAGAGGACAAUUCAAGGACAAGAGCCAGGCUGACAUACUGAGACUCCUAGCAAGUGAGUGCGACGAAUGGGGGCUGAUAUACCCAUUACUCAGCCGCUCAGCAGCCAUUGCCCUUGUUGUGCCGGUGUCAAGCGUGAAUUGUGAAAGAGACUUUUCCACAAUGAACAGGGUCAAAACAGACCUCCGUAACAGACUUCAGGGAGAGCACCUGGCUGCCUGUUUGAGGAUCUCUAUUAACGGGCCAGAACCUGAAGACUUUAAUUACCAAAGGGCACUGGAACUGUUUUUCUCAAAGCCAAGAAAACUGAAAUCGCAGGGUGUCAUAUCUGUAAAUAGGGUGGUUGCUAUCUGUAAUAUGAAUAAAUACGCCAAGAACGGCUAAAGAUAAUUCCAUCAUUUAUUAUUUAAUCUGAAUGCAACGUGAGCUGCAACAAUAGUGCACCACAACUCAACAAAUACAAAGUCCAUAAUCAAUACCAAGGAAUUAGUUCUUUGAUAGUGUUAGUUUACUAUUAGUAGGCAAACCACCGCGCAUGUCCGG